rnacentral:rRNA from 1 species
GACGAACGCUGGCGGCGUGCUUAACACAUGCAAGUCGAACGGAAAGGCCCUGCUUUUUUGGGGUUCUCGAGUGGCGAACGGGUGAGUAACACGUGAGUAACCUGCCCUUGACUUUGGGAUAACUUCAGGAAACUGGGGCUAAUACCGGAUAGGAGCUCCUGCUGCAUGGUGGGGGUUGGAAAGUUUCGGCGGUUGGGGAUGGACUCGCGGCGUAUCAGCUUGUUGGUGGGGUAGUGGCUUACCAAGGCUUUGACGGGUAGCCGGCCUGAGAGGGUGACCGGCCACAUUGGGACUGAGAUACGGCCCAGACUCCUACGGGAGGCAGGAGUGGGGAAUAAUGCACAAUGGGAGGAAGCCUGAUGCAGAAACGCCGCGUGCGGGAUGACGGCCUUCGGGUUGUAAACCGCUUCCGCCUGUGACGAAGCGUGAGUGACGGUAAUGGGUAAAGAAGCACCGGCUAACUACGUG